CCCUCACCCUUAUCCUGUCUUUCCUUUCUCUCCCUUAUGCAUUUUCCCUAAAGGUUCUCUUUAUGCCAUAUUGCUGUAGAUGAGAGAUAGAGAUGAUACCACCCAAACUGGGGAGAAGGGAUUUG